rnacentral:rRNA from 1 species
UAAUUUAUAUUUUAAUUAAGAUUAUUAGAAAUUUAUUUUUUAGUUAUGAUCGGGGUGAUUUUUAAAGAUUAUUAACCUUUAAAAUUUUUUAAUAAAAAAGUUCCAUUAGUAGUGAUUUUUUGAUAAAAAUACUCUAGGGAUAACAGCGUUAUUAUUUUGGAUAGUUCAUAUAGAUAAAAUAGUUUGCGACCUCGAUGUUGGAUUAGGAUUCUUUUAUGAUUAAGAAGUUAUAAGGGAGAAGUUUGCUCAACUUUUAAAGUCCUACUUGAUCUGAGUUCACCCCGGG